UAGGAAACCAGACGUAGGUGGGUUUGUAAGUCAGACGUGAAAGCCUUCUGUUCAACGGAAGAAUUGCAUCUGAAACUACAAACCUUGAGUGUAGGAGGGGAGAAUGGAACUUCUGGUGGAGCGGUGAAAUGCGUAGAUAUCAGAAGGAACGCCGGCGGCGAAAGCGAUUCUCUGGCCUAUUACUGACACUCAGUGUGCGAAAGCUAGGGGAGCAAACGGGAUUAGAUACCCCGGUAGUCCUAGCCGUAAACGAUGGGCACUAAGUAGAGGGGUUCUAA
rnacentral:rRNA from 1 species